UGGUAGAAUGGCUGAAAAUAAGCGGUAGAUUGUAAUCCUAUUUAUGGAAAUGAACUCCUUCUAUC
rnacentral:tRNA from 1 species